rnacentral:rRNA from 1 species
AUUGAACGCUGGCGGAAUGCUUUACACAUGCAAGUCGAACGGCAGCACGGGGGCAACCCUGGUGGCGAGUGGCGAACGGGUGAGUAAUACAUCGGAACGUGCCCAGUCGUGGGGGAUAACUACGGGAAACCGUAGCUAAUACCGCAUACGAACUCUGGUUGAAAGCGGGGAUCGCAAGACCUCGCGCGAUUGGAGCGGCCGAUGGCAGAUUAGGUAGUUGGUGGGGUAAAGGCUCACCAAGCCGACGAUCUGUAGCUGGUCUGAGAGGACGACCAGCCACAC